UCAGCAGAUGUUUGAAAUCCAAAGAUUAACGGAUGGAUAGCUUAAAGGAAGUAAUAAAACAAAUAUCAACUGUAGAAUCAAGGUGGUAGUAGAAUUUUUUGGUUUCUGUAUGAUGACACAUGAGGUGAUACUCAAGGAAACCCCCUACGGACAGGAAGAAAGAUGUAAACUUUGAGUUGUGAUUACGAGGAAAACCCUAGCCAGGACUGGACUGGGCUGCCUGUCUGAGGCUGGGAGGUGCUUGGCUGGAGCAUAGCUGACUGCGUGGCUUCUCUAAUUAUGAAUUUUUCUUCCCUGGGAAGAAUGAGGAAACUGUGUCUCAGAAGUAAGACAAUGCAUCCAAGAUGACAGACCUUAUGAGUGCAGGCCUGGAAUUUAAACCCAGGUUAGAAGGACGUGGAAAGAAUACUACCUGCAAGCCGACGAGAGAGGCCUGGAGCAGAUCCUUCCUUCACGGCACUCGGAAGAUGCCAAGCCUGCCAUCUUGAUUUUAGACUUCCAGCCUCCAGAACUGAGAGACAACACGUUGUUUCUGUUGUUUGAGCCACACAGUUGGUAGAACUGUUAAAGUAGCUCCAGGAAACUAAUUCAGUGACUAAUGUUUUUGAACAGUCUUUGUGCAUUUUAAAUAAACAUAUUUAAUAUAUUACA
rnacentral:lncRNA from 10 species